GAUGAACGCUGGCGGCGUGCCUAAUACAUGCAAGUCGAGCGAACGGACGAGAAGCUUGCUUCUCUGAUGUUAGCGGCGGACGGGUGAGUAACACGUGGAUAACCUACCUAUAAGACUGGGAUAACUUCGGGAAACCGGAGCUAAUACCGGAUAAUAUUUUGAACCGCAUGGUUCAAAAGUGAAAGACGGUCUUGCUGUCACUUAUAGAUGGAUCCGCGCUGCAUUAGCUAGUUGGUAAGGUAACGGCUUACCAAGGCAACGAUGCAUAGCCGACCUGAGA
rnacentral:rRNA from 1 species